rnacentral:rRNA from 2 species
GGCAGCAGUAGGGAAUCUUCCGCAAUGGACGAAAGUCUGACGGAGCAACGCCGCGUGAGCGAUGAAGGCCUUCGGGUCGUAAAGCUCUGUUGUCAGGGAAGAACAAGUACCGGAGUAACUGCCGGUACCUUGACGGUACCUGACCAGAAAGCCACGGCUAACUACGUGCCAGCAGCCGCGGUAAUACGUAGGUGGCAAGCGUUGUCCGGAAUUAUUGGGCGUAAAGCGCGCGCAGGCGGUUCCUUAAGUCUGAUGUGAAAGCCCCCGGCUCAACCGGGGAGGGUCAUUGGAAACUGGGGAACUUGAGUGCAGAAGAGGAGAGCGGAAUUCCACGUGUAGCGGUGAAAUGCGUAGAGAUGUGGAGGAACACCAGUGGCGAAGGCGGCUCUCUGGUCUGUAACUGACGCUGAGGCGCGAAAGCGUGGGGAGCGAACAGGAUUAGAUACCCUGGUAGUCCACGCCGUAAACGAUGAGUGCUAAGUGUUAGAGGGUUUCCGCCCUUUAGUGCUGCAGCAAACGCAUUAAGCACUCCGCCUGGGGAGUACGGCCGCAAGGCUGAAACUCAAAGGAAUGACGGAAUCGUCGACUGCAGGCAAACC